rnacentral:tRNA from 1 species
CGCCCGCGCGGCGAGGAGUGGGUCGCCGCCUGGGAGGCGGCGAAGGACCCGUGGUUCAACUUCUCGGCCGGCAAC